GCGACCUCCUACUUGUUGGGAGAUAUUUACUAAGACACACAAGUCAAAAGAUGGCAACUUUAUAGAUCGUCGAUCAUCGGCAUUAGACGAAGAAAUUGCUGCUAGGGUUGCACAGGCGUCUCAGCCUAGUUUAGAGGGAGGUGAGGAGCAGACUCUAUCCACUGACCAGAUAAAUGAAAUUUAUUAUGAUGUGGUUGGUGGAAGGAAAAAGACCUCCACCCUAUAUGGUCUUGGGGCUCAGGCGAGAGUUGUAUAUGAUCAAGCGAUGGCUUCUAGGGCCAGGGGUCGUCCCAGCACAUCAUCGAGUGCAUCCGAAUCAUCUGCUGGAGUAGACGUCUUAGAACAGGAAAACGCAGAUUUGAAGACUCGACUCUCGACCUUGGAGGCUGAAUUUCGAGUAGAGCGGCAAUCCCGAUUGGAUCUUGAGAAAAUUGGGCGGGAUAUGCAGGCCUUCUUGGAUCAAAUGAGUGCAACGCCGCAUCGUUUUGCCUCUCAGGAGACUCAAGACCCUAAUAAUCCUCCUGAUCCAUAGAUUGUGAUAGGAACGUUGAUGCCUAUACAACACCAUCAUCAUAUAACCAAACUAGCUUUCAGGAUUGAUUACUACUUGCUAGCUUAGGAUUGGAUUUUCUUUGCUAGAUGGUGUUGUAUUGUGAUUUUAAAUUUCAGAUGUUGUAGUACU